AUUUGAAAUCUGCCCUAGGCCCGAGUUGUAAUUUGCAGAGGAUGCUUUUGGCGCGGUGCCUUCCGAGUUCCCUGGAACGGGACGCCAUAGAGGGUGAGAGCCCCGUACGGUUGGACACCAAGUCUUUGUAAAGCUCCUUCGACGAGUCGAGUAGUUUGGGAAUGCUGCUCAAAAUGGGAGGUAUAUUUCUUCUAAAGCUAAAUAUUGGCCAGAGACCGAUAGCGCACAAGUAGAGUGAUCGAAAGAUGAAAAGCACUUUGAAAAGAGGGUUAAACAGCACGUGAAAUUGUUAAAAGGGAAGCGCUUGUGACCAGACUUGCGUCCGGUGAAUCACCCAGCUCUCGCGGCUGGGGCAUUUUGCCGGCUCAGGCCAGCAUCAGCUUGCCGUCGGGGACAAAAGCUUCGGGAAAGUAGCUCUCUUCGGGGAGUGUUAUAGCCCGUUGCAUAAUACCCUUCGGUGGGCUGAGGUACGCGCUCCGCAAGGAUGCUGGCGUAAUGGUCAUCAGCGACCC
rnacentral:rRNA from 1 species